UCCAGAUUAUCAUUGACAUGAAGGUGGC
rnacentral:sRNA from 1 species